UGGAAUGUUAUAGAUUCAUGUUUUAAAAGUUAUUAUAUUGUUUUGGACGCACGUAUCCUACUGAGUAUAAAUUACUCACUCCUUCCAUUUUAACUUUUCAGGUCAGAUUGGUCAACGUGGAUGGUGGCUGAGUGGUGCGCAGGUUGCCAAGUAAUAGAAAAUUUUUAGGAAUCUAUAAUAAAUUUGUUAGGGCAUUUUAUAUUUCUCUUCAAUUCCAUUCAUGACGCUAUGUUUAUUUGAUUCAGUAUUUGAGUUUCAAUAAAUUAAGGUAUUAAAUUUUAAAUUUUAUUUCCG
rnacentral:lncRNA from 1 species